rnacentral:tRNA from 2 species
GGAGAGGUGGCUGAGUGGUCGAAAGCGCCGCACUCGAAAUGCGGUGACCCUUUACGGGGUCCGGGGGUUCGAAUCCCUCCCUCUCCGCCA